rnacentral:rRNA from 1 species
CACGUAGGCGGAUUGUUAAGUCGGGGGUGAAAUCCUGGAGCUCAACUCCAGAACUGCCUUCGAUACUGGCGAUCUCGAGUCCGGGAGAGGUGAGUGGAACUCCGAGUGUAGAGGUGAAAUUCGUAGAUAUUCGGAAGAACACCAGUGGCGAAGGCGGCUCACUGGCCCGGUACUGACGCUGAGGUGCGAAAGCGUGGGGAGCAAACA